GACGAACGCUGGCGGCGUGCUUAACACAUGCAAGUCGAACGGAAAGGCCUCUUUCGGGGGGUACUCGAGUGGCGAACGGGUGAGUAACACGUGAGUAACCUGCCCUUGACUUUGGGAUAACUUCAGGAAACUGGGGCUAAUACCGGAUAGGAGCUCCUGCUGCAUGGUGGGGGUUGGAAAGUUUCGGCGGUUGGGGAUGGACUCGCGGCUUAUCAGCUUGUUGGUGGGGUAGUGGCUUACCAAGGCUUUGACGGGUAGCCGGCCUGAGAGGGUGACCGGCCACAUUGGGACUGAGAUACGGCCCAGACUCCUACGGGAGGCAGCAGUGGGGAAUAUUGCACAAUGGGUGGAAGCCUGAUGCAGCAACGCCGUGUGCGGGAUGACGGCCUUCGGGGUGUAAACCGCUUUCGCUCAUGACGAAGCUUUGUGUGACGGUAGUGGGUAAAGAAGCACCGGCUAACUAC
rnacentral:rRNA from 1 species